rnacentral:rRNA from 1 species
UACGGAGGAUCCGAGCGUUAUCCGGAUUUAUUGGGUUUAAAGGGUGCGCAGGCGGGAGAUUAAGUCGGCGGUGAAAUUUUGCAGCUCAACCGUAAAAGUGCCUUCGAUACUGGUGGUCUUGAGUGUGGAUGAGGUAGGCGGAAUUUGUGGUGUAGCGGUGAAAUGCAUAGAUAUCACGAGGAACUCCGAUUGCUAAGGCAGCUUACUAAGCCAUAACUGACGCUCAAGCACGAAGGCGUGGGGAUCAAACAGGAUUAGAUACCCGCGUA